rnacentral:lncRNA from 13 species
UGUAUUUUUAGGGAUGUUGGCCAGACUGGUCUUGAACUCCUGACCUCUAGUGAUCUGCCCACCCUGGCCUCCCAAAGUGCUGAGAUUACAGGCAUGAGCCACUGUGCCCAGCCAAGAUUGUCACAUUUUAAAGUCAGAUUUGCCUGAUUGUUUGAUGAGCCAUUGGAUCUACUAAGCAUCUCAGUGUUCCCACAAUUCUCCAGGACAUCCCUGGGACUGAAGGCAUAGGCAGACAGGAAGGAAAAGUGGUAGAAGGAGGAAAGAGGCAAAGAAGAGGUAAGGGAAAAGAGGGGAGGAAACAGGACCUCAUGCUAUGGUGUCGAACCAUGACCAAAAUGAUAAUCACAGGCAUUUCCUUUGCAGUUUCUGGAGUAUCAGCUAGCUGCUAAGGAAGAAUCAAACUCCUUUCCUGUGAAAGAGCGGAAUGUUCAUGGAAAGAAAAACGUCAAGGGUUCCCUGUCUGGACCUCUCUCCAAUUCCACCAGCUUCUGUGUUGAGAAAGGCCAGCCUCAGACCUGCUCCUCCUCACUCUCCUCUGUCACAGUUGUUUACUGGACUGUUUGGUUUGACUUCCUGUGGACAGUGUCCACAGCACCAGCAGUUUCCACGAUGCAGGUCACAUUACUGCGUCACCUGUCAGUAAGUCAUCAAGCCCACCAAAUUCUGAGCGCUCGCUUCCAAAAGUGUGGCUGUUCUGAUUUCUACAAGGCUCCUCUUGUAGAUUUAUUGUGGGGUAAAUACAGGACUUUCUGGCCUUCAGGUUUAAGAAUCCCCUCCAUAUUUUAACAGGAUUUGACUCAGAAGCCUCAAGAAAAGAGAUAGGAAUUUGCCUUUUCAGUCCACCCCAGAAGAUUUUUUUUUGUCUUAAUUUAUCCCUAGAAAUCAGCCAGGAACUCCUAGGCCAGCAUUCUUCAGAAAGCCUUUUCCGUUGGCUUCUAGGGAAUGCAGUAGGAUUGCUAGAGAACCAGGGCUGGGGGCCCAGGACUGGACUUCCUCCUGUAGGAAAACUGAGCUUGGGUCUGCCCUGUCAGAGCCUGGAAGCCCUCUAGUACAGCUCAGACUCAGGUGCAACUCCACGGGCUCAGCCUCCUUCCUGGCACAAGUCCCACGCGUGGCGGAGCAAGGUUGCGGCAGAAGCACGGCUUUCAUCCUUACCUGGUCUGGCUGCAGGACGUCAAUCCUCUAGAGAGACAGCAGCAUCCCAGCAGCCUAGCCCAGGGCCUCAGACCACUCUGCCUACAGCCCCCCAGAGCCACUAUUACUGACCCCAGAACUAUACUGCCUCCUAGAGUCCUUGGAAUCAAGUGGGCUUCCUGCAGGCCUCUGCAGUUCGAGUAGACCCCCCAAGGUCUGAUCCGGUCCUUGGAGUGAGAGACAGAGCCUAGGAAGUUUUCCUUAUCAGUUCCCCCGUGUCCAGUUCUCUAGCACUGUCCAGUCGUACACCUGGAUCUGUUCUGAUUUCUGGGAAGCCAAUUGUUCCUCCUUGGAAUGGCCCUAGGAUAAAACCUGGUUGCAGCCUAGUGCUUUGGUGUGGGAAGCAAGUUAGCUCUCUGCCGCACCCCAGGACCCAGCAAGGCACAGAUAAUGUGCCAAACCCAGCUUUCCCGGGAGGAUCCCAGAGCCAUCUGACUGACAGAGUUGUGGCUGAGGAAAAUGGGGUGACUGGUAGUAUGUGUCAGUCGGGUGGACUAAGAAGUCACAGGGUAAGGCAGUCACAGACAGCCAGGACGUUUCAGAAGCAAGGCAGCCUAGCAGCAGACCAGCAAGCCUGACGUCAGGAGCUGAG